GACGAACGCUGGCGGCGUGCCUAAUACAUGCAAGUCGAGCGAUGAGGCUUGGUGCUUGCACCGAUUUGAAGAGCAGCGCACGGGUGAGUAACGCGUGGGGACUCUGCCUUUCAGCGGGGGACAACAUGUGGACACGAAUGCUAAUACCGCAUAACAUCUUUAUACAUAAGUUUUAAGUGUGAAUUAUGCCGUUGCAUCACUCAAAGAUGAUCCCGCGUUGUAUUAGCUAGGUGGUGAGGUAAAGACUCUCGAAGGCGAUGUUACAUAGACGACCUGAGAGGGUGAGCAGCCACAUUGGGACUGAGACACGGCACAAAGUCCUACGGGAGGGAGCAGGAGGGAUUCGUGGGCAAGGGGCGAAAGUCAGGCCGAGAAACGCGGAGGGAGGGAAGAAGAUUGUCGGGUCGGAAAACACGGUUGGUAGGGAGGAAAGUGGGUGAGAGUGGAAAGCUCAGCAAGUGACGGUAACGACCCAGAAAGCGACGGCUAACUACGUG
rnacentral:rRNA from 1 species